UACGAGGGGGGCUAGCGUUGCUCGGAAUUACUGGGCGUAAAGGGAGCGUAGGCGGACAUUUAAGUCAGGGGUGAAAUCCCAGAGCUCAACUCUGGAACUGCCUUUGAUACUGGGUGUCUUGAGUGUGAGAGAGGUAUGUGGAACUCCGAGUGUAGAGGUGAAAUUCGUAGAUAUUCGGAAGAACACCAGUGGCGAAGGCGACAUACUGGCUCAUUACUGACGCUGAGGCUCGAAAGCGUGGGGAGCAAACAGGAUUAGAUACCCUGGUAGUCCACGCUGUAAACGAUGAUUGCUAGUUGUCGGGAUGCAUGCAUUUCGGUGACGCAGCUAACGCAUUAAGCAAUCCGCCUGGGGAGUACGGUCGCAAGAUUAAAACUCAAAG
rnacentral:rRNA from 1 species